ACUCCUACGGGAGGCAGCAGUGGGGAAUAUCGCACAAGUAGGGCAACCUGAUGCAGCCAUGCCGCGUGUGUAGCAAGAAUGGGCCUUCGGGUUGAUAAAGCACUUUCAGUAGGGAGGAAGGUAGUGUAGUUAACACCUGCAUUAUUUGACGUUACCUACAGAAGAAGCACCGGCUAACUCCGUGCCAGCAGCCGCGGUAAUACGGAGGGUGCGAGCGUUAAUCGGAAUUACUGGGCGUAAAGCGCAUGCAGGCGGCCUGUUAAGUCAGAUGUGAAAGCCCGGGGCUUAACCUCGGAAUUGCAUUUGAAACUGGCAGGCUAGAGUCUUGUAGAGGGGGUGAGAAUUUUCAGGUGUAGCGGUGAAAUGCGUAGAGAUCUGAAGG
rnacentral:rRNA from 1 species